rnacentral:rRNA from 1 species
UACGGAGGGGGCUAGCGUUGUUCGGAAUUACUGGGCGUAAAGCGCACGUAGGCGGCUUGUCGCGUCGGAUGUGAAAGCCCGGGGCUUAACUCCGGGUCUGCAUUCGAUACGGGCAGGCUAGAGUUCGGUAGGGGAGAUCGGAAUUCCUGGUGUAGCGGUGAAAUGCGCAGAUAUCAGGAGGAACACCGGUGGCGAAGGCGGAUCUCUGGGCCGAUACUGACGCUGAGGAGCGAAAGCGUGGGGAGCGAACAGG